UUUUGCACCAUCUACUUUCUCCCAAAGCCAAAAAGUUACACAACAAAAGCCUCUCUCUCAAUUUCUCUAUUUCUCUAUUUCUCAUACUUUCAUAAUAAUCUCAUUCUCUCUCAUAUUUUCUCUUUCUCUCUCAUAGUCUCAUUCAUGUACACUACUAGCAAUUACUACACCUCUUACGCCCACCAUUUAAUGCAAUUGCACCAUCUCAAUACACUCAGCAAUAACUCAUCACUGCCACAUUUUUCCUCUCCAUCCUUUCCCUCUUUUCUCUUCCUUCAAUUCCUUUGUCCUCUCACCUUCUUCCUCUCCUUCUUCUCCCUUUAA